GACGAACGCUGGCGGCGUACUUAACACAUGCAAGUCGAACGGAAAGGCCCUGCUUUUGUGGGGUGCUCGAGUGGCGAACGGGUGAGUAACACGUGAGUAACCUGCCCUUGACUUUGGGAUAACUUCAGGAAACUGGGGCUAAUACCGGAUAGGAGCUCCUGCUGCAUGGUGGGGGUUGGAAAGUUUCGGCGGUUGGGGAUGGACUCGCGGCUUAUCAGCUUGUUGGUGGGGUAGUGGCUUACCAAGGCUUUGACGGGUAGCCGGCCUGAGAGGGUGACCGGCCACAUUGGGACUGAGAUACGGCCCAGACUCGUACGGGAGGCAGCAGUGGGGAAUAUUGCACAAUGGGCGGAAGCCUGAUGCAGCAACGCCGCGUGCGGGAUGACGGCCUUCGGGUUGUAAACCGCUUUCGCCUGUGACGAAGCGUGAGUGACGGUAAUGGGUAAAGAAGCACCGGCUAACUACGUG
rnacentral:rRNA from 1 species